ACUGCACAAUAAUUUUAUAAUGUUUAUUAUAACAACUAUUUGUGCCUAUUUUUAUUUUUCCUAAGAAACUUUUUGGGAAACAUUGUUGAUGCUUCAGUGAAACUCAACUGAGAUCUCCAUUAGGUCUCCAGAGCUGUGAAAGAAAAAUAAAACAGCAACAAGAUGAAAUGAGAAGGAAAUGGAGACUUUUGCUAAUGAAAGGCUUUCAGAAGAGAUCUCAAACUCAUACCAAAGGUCAGAAAUCUCAAUAUGAACUCAAAACAUUUCUCAUCAAAUUCUCCCAAUCUCUCUUACUCUCUGUGUCUAUUUUUACCCUUCCUAAUAGAAUUUCAGGGGAAACAUCUUUGAUACUUCAACUAAACUCAACUGAGAACUCCAUAAAGAGCAACCUCCGAGCAUAAGUGUUUCCUCUGCAGGUGUGUGUGUGUGUGUGUGUGUGUGUGUGUGUGUGUGUGUUGUAAACGCUGCUCAGUUGCGUGUGCAGUUAAAAGGGCCAGAUUGAUCUGAACCUGUAGAGAGAAGCUCAAUACUCUGGUCUCUGAAAGGCUCCUCCAGCGGCCUGUCUGUUUGCACCCGAGUGGCGUCGGGCGUCCCACGGCAGCCUGAUUGGAUCCCCGCUGAGGGAACGGGCCGUGACGUGCCGCUGUCUCUGUACGGAACCACUCCGAUGCUCCGGCCCGUUAUCGAAAUCCCGCCAGCCGCCCCGCAGAAACUCACCAUGAAGACACACUGUUGCACCCAAAAAGCUCAUACAAGUACAAAAAGACGGGCGGCGCUUCGAUUCGCCCUCUACAAAGAGACCCUAAAAGAGCGACGGAGUCCCACCGUGUGAUAAUUGCGCCGCCGCGGAGGUACCUGGUGCAAGCGCCGGCCUACCAUCUGACACCACGGAUAAAAGAAGGCAGAAAUCAAGCCUGAAAUGAGAGUCAAACGUUUAUCUGAACUUCAAUGUGGCCAGAGCGCUCAAAAGAAGAACUCAAAAGGUGUUUCUUUCCUCACGCACUUGUCAUAAUCCUUUAACCUGAGAAAUCCGUGAGUUCUAGCUUCACAAACGCGCUCUGUUCCCAAUCCUGUUAGAUAUUAUAAAGCCAUCAGAGCGCAGGCCCGAGCUCCCACGGCGGCGGCGGCCGUUAACAUCUACAGAACGGGGGAACGUCGGGAGCGUGCGGCACCCGUGGAGCCCGCGCACCUCCGCUCGUCCCUAAUCAUUAUUUGAUGACAGAAAUCUGCGCGCAUUACGGCGGCAGCGCUGUUUCUUAGCAACGCGCCAGGGAUAUUCAAACAAUUUCAUUAAAGUGUGACACCUCUUAGCAGGUGGCUGUGUGCGAGAGGAGAUAAACACAGAGGUGGAAGCGUCGGCGCUAUUUGCCAACAUCACAAUUGAUAACAUCAAUUCAGCAACGUGUUUACAAGCCCUAUGAAAUGAAGCGAGCGUGUAAGAGUCGCUGAACCCCAGACGCCUGCUGUCUGCUACCCAAACACACCCAAACGCUCAGGUAACGCUGCUAUUCAGAUGGAAAACGCCUGAUUUACAUCCCAAUACCUUCGGAGCGUCCUGGGAUUCCUCUGCCUCUGAUGCAAUGCCAGAUGUGUGUGUGUGUGUGUGUGUGUGUGUGAGGUAAAUUGGAUGUUUGCAGCGUUCAGCGGUUGAUUCGGUACCUGCGGUAAAUCAAGGUACUGCGGGAAAACAAACAAUCGUCUUCAGUUGAGCAUCUGCUUGACAAAAGACAGAUCCUGAGAGAGAGAGAGCAUGUGAGCGAAGGUUCAAUGGUGGGAAAUGAGAAUGAUUUACCUGAAAUACGCUGUGGAAAUUUCAGCCGACAGGUGACAAAGGUUUCAUUUGCUUACCUGGUGAAAAAUAACCCGCGGAGUACAGCGAUCUGCCUGAUACGAGGUGUUUGUGCGGUGAUGAUGAAAUCUGCUGACCUCUGACCUCAACACACUCUCUCCUGCACGCCUCUCUUCUCUUCUUCAUCAGAAAGCAUCUCAUGAUUCUGUGCUCCAGUGAGACGAAACAACAAACAGAGAGAGAGAGAGAGAGAGAGAUUGCUUUGAAUGAAAAUAAACUUGCACUUUAACCACAGAAGGUUCAUUUUCUAGGAGACCGUGUUCACGGCGGAUGACAACAUGAAAUGUUCAUUAAUAAAAACAUGUUUAAUAAUAAAAAGCCUCUAUCACAGACAGAAUCAAUGUUUUGACAGCGUCACAGUGUUUCACUCUUCAGAAUGUGAAGAACAUGAACAUGUUUGAUUCCACCGUACUGUGAAACACACUAACACAGAGCUCAACACUUCUCCCGUUCAUAAAGAGCGUUUGUUGAACAUAAACUACAGAAAUGACUCAUUCUGAGCAAUUAAAACAAACACGUUAUUUUUUUAAAUUUACACUGCAUAAAAUGACCUUAUUCCUCAGUAUUUCUGUCUUGUUUUAUCUCUAAAUAUCUAAACAUUCUGAAAUCAAGAUACAUUUACAGGAGAGGCAAAAUGACUGAAGAUAUUAAGUCUUGUUUUCUCUGAGUGAUCAGAAACUCAGGCUUAUAUGCAAGUUAAUAUUAAUUAAAUAUGAAGUGUUGAGUAAGAAAUGCGACAUGUAUAUUUACAUACACACU